CCUACGGGAGGCAGCAGUGAGGAAUAUUGGUCAAUGGACGAGAGUCUGAACCAGCCAAGUAGCGUGAAGGAUGACUGCCCUAUGGGUUGUAAACUUCUUUUAUAAAGGAAUAAAACGAGGCACGUGCGCCUUUUUGCAUGUACUUUAUGAAUAAGGAUCGGCUAACUCCGUGCCAGCAGCCGCGGUAAUACGGAGGAUCCGAGCGUUAUCCGGAUUGAUUGGGUGUAAAGGGAGCGUAGGUGGGUUGUUAAGUCAGUUGUGAAAGUUUGCGGCUCAACCGUAAAAUUGCAAUUGAUACUGGCAGUCUUGAGUACAGUUGAGGUAAGCGGAAUUCGUGGUGUAGCGGUGAAAUGCUUAGAUAUCACGAAGAACCCCGAUUGCGAAGGCAGCUUACUAAACUGUGACUGACAUUGAUGCUCGAAAGUGUGGGUAUCAAACAGGAUUAGAUACCCUUGUAGUC
rnacentral:rRNA from 1 species